rnacentral:rRNA from 1 species
GUCGUCAGCUCGUGUCGUGAGUAGUGUUAGGGUUAACGUCCCGUAACGAGCGCAACCUUGUCCUUAGUUACCAGCACGUUAUGGUGGCACUCUAAGGAGACUGCCGGUGACAAACCGGAGGAAGGUGGGGAUGACGUCAAGUCAUCAUGGCCCUUACGGCCUGGGCUACACACGUGCUACAAUGGUCGGUACAAAGGGUUGCCAAGCCGCGAGGUGGAGCUAAUCCCAUAAAACCGAUCGUAGUCCGGAUCGCAGUCUGCAACUCGACUGCGUGAAGUCGGAAUCGCUAGUAAUCGUGAAUCAGAAUGUCACGGUGAAUACGUUCCCGGGCCUU